AUGCACGCUGGCGGCGUGCCUCAUACCUGCAAGUCGAGCGAACAGAUGAGGAGCUUGCUCCUCUGACGUUAGCGGCGGACGGGUGAGUAACACGUGGAUAACCUACCUAUAAGACUGGGAUAACUUCGGGAAACCGGAGCUAAUACCGGAUAAUAUAUUGAACCGCAUGGUUCAAUAGUGAAAGACGGUUUUGCUGUCACUUAUAGAUGGAUCCGCGCCGCAUUAGCUAGUUGGUAAGGUAACGGCUUACCAAGGCAACGAUGCGUAGCCGACCUGAGAGGGUGAUCGGCCACACUGGAACUGAGACACGGUCCAAACUCCUACGGGAGGCAGCAGUAGGGAAUCUUCCGCAAUGGGCGAAAGCCUGACGGAGCAACGCCGCGUGAGUGAUGAAGGUCUUCGGAUCGUAAAACUCUGUUAUUAGGGAAGAACAAAUGUGUAAGUAACUAUGCACGUCUUGACGGUACCUAAUCAGAAAGCCACGGCUAACUACGUG
rnacentral:rRNA from 1 species